UUAAAAAUAGUUUUAUAAAAAUAUUAAUUUUGGAAAUUAAAGAUAUAAUUUAAUAAUUAUUUUUUAAA
rnacentral:tRNA from 1 species